CCGACCUUACUUGAACAAGAUCUGUUGUAUAGGCUUGCACAACCAUAUCCUUGAUUGCAAAAGAGACGGGCAACUCAGUCGGUGGAUGACUCCAGAACUCAUUGCUAGAGUGUGAUUAACGGGGAGGAUCCUUUGGAGUCCCUUCGAUUGAGGAUCAUUCUCGGGGGAUUUUGAUCGCCUGGAAUGACUUUGAGGUUGUUUGACAGACU